GGGCCUGCAAAUAGUGGUUUCGUUGGGNCNGCUUCUUUUCCCACCGGGAGCUUGCUCCACCGGGUAAAAGAGGAGUGGCGAACGGGUGAGUAACACGUGGGCUAACCUGCCCAUCAGAAGGGGAUAACACUUGGAAACAGGUGCUAAUACCGUAUAACAAUCGAAACCGCAAGGUUUCGUUUUGAAAGGCGCUUUACGGUGCCGCUGAUGGAUGGACCCGCGGUGCAUUAGCUAGUUGGUGAGGUAACGGCUCACCAAGGCCACGAUGCAUAGCCGACCUGAGAGGGUGAUCGGCCACAUUGGGACUGAGACACGGCCCAAACUCCUACGGGAGGCAGCAGUAGGGAAUCUUCGGCAAUGGACGAAAGUCUGACCGAGCAACGCCGCGUGAGUGAAGAAGGUUUUCGGAUCGUAAAACUCUGUUGUUAGAGAAGAACAAGGGUGAGAGUAACUGUUCACCCCUUGACGGUAUCUAACCAGAAAGCCACGGCUAACUACGUGCCAGCAGCCGCGGUAAUACGUAGGUGGCAAGCGUUGUCCGGAUUUAUUGGGCGUAAAGCGAGCGCAGGCGGUUUCUUAAGUCUGAUGUGAAAGCCCCCGGCUCAACCGGGGAGGGUC
rnacentral:rRNA from 1 species